rnacentral:lncRNA from 1 species
UACAGGAAGAAUACUGUUGCUCAGUUAGUAUGGAUUUCUUAUCACUUCCUUUUUCUUGUAGUCAAGUUAUGAAACCAUGCUUUGAUGAUAACUUCAUCCGUAAUACUCUGCCGCUGGUUUCAAGUCAUGAGCAGAUGGAGAUCAUCAGUGCAUCAUCUCUUACGCAACUGCUACUGUAAUCGAGUCCUUUGCAAGCGCUGGUAAGAUCUUUCUACACAGCUUAGUUACAUCUCUCUUCUUAAAUUUACCAGGAUUUUUUUAGUUGCUUUUCCUCUAAUAAGAUGCAUCAUACUUACUGUUGAAUAGUUUAUCAAAUAUAUAUAUUCUUGCUGCACAUUUUGUAUCAACUGAUAACUUUGAAACUUUUCUUCUCUCAUUAGAUCAUCCUUACUAUUGGAUAUGCACAUGAAUAACUAAAGGCGCCAUGACAUUAGGCAUUUCCUUCAUUUUAGCCUUUUAAACUUAUUUAUAUAUCCGUUGUUAAUUUAGUGUGGUUUCUUCUCCUGAGGGUAUAUUCAUCAAAGUUAGGAAGGUCUUUGUAUGGCUUUGGUCAUCCUAAAUUUUGUGUUUGUUCUUUUUCAGUCCUGGUUAGCUUUGUGAAACAAUAAUUUUUAUAGCCCUUUAUGUGCUCAUGCCCAAUUUCCUUAUAUUCUAACCAUUCUAGAAUAGUAGCCUUUCUGCAUUGCUAAGAUGUUGAAGCAUGGUGACAUGUUUAACUCAUGUCAGAACUAAGCUUAGGGUAGAGAAAGGGUUGCUUGCAUGACAUCCAUGUCAUAGAGAAAAUGUUAAAUUCCCUCUCUCCAUUCCUUACCGUGAAUCUAACGCUUUAUUGAUUUUUUUUAGCUUCUAGAUGUUCUGCAACUAUAUACACAAUAGAUAAUGUAUGUCUA